rnacentral:lncRNA from 1 species
UAAGAACAAAAUACUGUCCUUAGCACACCGCACAAUGGAAUCUCUCAGAGGCUAUAUCCAAGCAAAAUGGAUGUGGCGGAGAAGUUUAUUCAAGACAAUCCAUAGUAAGGCUUAACACACCAAUAUACACAUGAAGAAGAACUUCUUCGCAUCACGGAACAGAUGCAACCAGACGUAGAAAACCUAUUACUAGCAUUCGGGAUCGACAUUGCCACAAUAGGAGCCACAAGAGCGCCCACUCAUCCAACUUCUGAUGUAACGCAACCCGAUCCUGCACAUACAAAAACAAGAGCCAAUAUCAGUCAAGAGAUGAUGUAACUCAUGAAGGACCAAAUUGCAUUUGAGGAAAGUCACACCCUGAUAGAAUACUUGAGGAAAAAUCCUGGCCCAAGCAUACUCCACGAGUGGGCCACAAGAGUUCUACACAACUCCUACACCUCAACAACGAUGCUUGGGGGAGGUUACUUCAAAAUAUAAUUUAUGAGCAAACAAGGAAAACUACACAUGCUAUCUAAACCAUAUCAAUUCAACAACGAAGAUAUAUUAUUUUCCACCUGGAGAGCCGACUUCGACCUGGAAUCGGAAACCGACACGCACCAAACCUCCUCCCAAAUCUGGGCACAACUCCGAGGCUUAAGAAGGAUUUUUCGCACAACACAGUUUCUCACAGAAGCCUUUUCCACUAUCGAAGAAGUCAUAGCCGUUGACUCCACCAAAUCUUACCAAAACAAAGCUUCUGGUUCUAAGGUUCAGUUACCAGUCUAGGAUGUAGUCAACCUCCCACAUACUUCAGUUCUUCCCAAGAGGUGAACAUGAAUACCGAAUUGACUACAGUGUACUAUCCUCCUAGUGCAAUAGAUGUAGAAGUACUACACACCACGCUAAACACUGUACACUACCGUGGAGAGAAGAGCGCAAGAGAUCCAGAUAGAAAACCCCAACCUUGGAAAACUCGGUAACCGACAACCUCACCCAACACAGACAGACCAAUGGUGAAGAGAAAACAUUGAAAAAUGUAGGACCUAGGAAGAAGAACAGUGCAACUCUUCUACGCACCAAAUACAUCUGGGUAGAAAAGAAACCAACAAAAUCCACAGACACACAUGAAGGACCAGAAAAACCAUCUGAAUCAAUCAUAUACAACUCACCACAUACAAUUGAGCUUUUGGAGAGCUCUGGGAUCAGAACCGCCUUGCAAAGGAACAACUUAUGAGCAAAUUACAGUAGCUUUAGUUUGGUCAUCUCAAAACAACUUCCUUGAAACCCUGGUUUGCAAAGCUAGCGACACUCUGCUGUGCACAACACAACUGACUCACGUCCCAAAGGAGAAGGAUUGGUCAUCAUCAAUCGCUCAAACGCAUAUGGUUAACACCACAAUGCAAAAGCUCCAAACACAGAUAACCAAUAGAGGAAAUGGCCCCAACUUGCUCCGCACCUAGUCAGACGCAAUAUGGGUUUCAGAAUAGCUCAACUAAAAAUCUACUCACACAAACAAUUGGAUUACUAUCUUGCCAUACGACAAAAGCACCACAGCGAUCAAACAUCAAUAAACAAAGCACUGGAAGCAGAUACCAUCAUCAACAUCCCCCCCACAAGCUCUCAUACUAGAAAGGGUAAAGGAGAUAUCAUAUGGCCAAUGGUGUCAGACAAUCAUCCAUCUCCAAGAUUAACACACCCAGGAUGUGAACUCCUCUCCUCUAACUCACUUUGAGCAGAAACUCGGAGAGAACAACACAUCUAUUAUACAUGAAUGAUGGCCUAACAAUGGCCACAUACAACAUCCAGUGCUUAGGCGAAGGACUGGAUGGCGUCAGAAAAUGCUGUAAGCUUCGAAACUUAAUGCAAAAGACCUAUCUCAAACCCAACCUUAUAUUAUUACAAGAACAUCAAUUCAACCAUACUAACUGUACCAAACAAGCUACACAACUAGAUUUUCUACAAGGUACAAUGCUUUGGAACACCGUAGUGUACUCAGCACAAAAAGUGGCUUAGUUGGUGGAACAGCUAUUUUGGUAUCCAACAAACUCACCGAUAACCUAAAAGAACAUGGAGUGAUAGUCUGAGGAAGAGCGCAACGCUCCAUUUUCAAAAUCAGCCCCACAGUUCAAAUAGGCAUUCUAAAUGUCUAUGGUUACAGCCACACAGAACCCCGUGCAAGACUAUGGCAGAAAAUAGCAGACCACCCUUUACCAGAAGCCCUCUGGAUCAUGGGGGGCGAUUCUAAUUUUAUUGAGUCCCUCGAAGACAAGCAGGGUGGGAAUGCCAAUUUAAGACAAGGAACACAAGAAAUGACAGCAUGGAAUAACAUGCUCAUUAAACUAUAAGUUCAAGACAGUUUCCACAUGGGAGAAUUCUGCAAGAUUACCAAUAAACGCUUCACCUGGGAUAACAGAAGCCCAGCCCCGAAGACAGUACUCACCAAGCUAGAUAGAAUAUACAUUGGAGACAAACUCCAAGACUGAGGUGGACUAUGUGGAAUCUGGACAGCACAACCAAUCAUUUCGUAUUACACCCCUGCUUUCAUAAGAUUGAAACCUGCAUGCCGACCUCUACCCUAGAUGCAGUUCUUUGACAAACGACAACUAGAAUCAGUUGAAGGCAGACAACAUGUCACAGGAGCUUGAAAACAGGCCAUAUAAAACACUACAUAAACCAAAUGGAGCGAUAAAAUUGGCCUUACAAGCAGUAUGCAACACGAACCUAAAUAUUGCAAAAAAGAACAGACAGACUUGGAAAAAAUAGUACAAGAAUCAACUAAACCAGACACUCAAUGCCAAACUCCUCGUUCAAGAUAACUGAAAUGACCCAACGACGAGGGACACACUCAACACAACACAGCUAUAAUUACAAAAAAAUUGAUACAACAGGCUAGAAAAACAAUUCACAUUCCUUACAGUCAAAUGGACAAGAGUGAGAGACCGUUGCAACUCUGAGUUCUUUCAACACUACAGAGCUCGUCACUGCAAAGUCCGCAUCAAAGAAUCCAAUGAUAAGGACCGCAUUCAAAAGUUCCAGAAGCACAUGGCGCUUUAUGCACAAAGAUAUUACCAACAACUCUACACCCCAAACUCCACCGUUGAAUGCAAUGUAGACUCCGAAAGAGACACCUUAGCAAGCACUCCUAUAGUAGUCACAGAGGAUCACAACCGAGAGUUAGAACGCCCUAUAACUGCUGAAGAGAUUACAGCGGCAACGAAGAGUCUUCCUAGAAGCAAAGCCCCCAGACUGGACAAGGUACCGACCGAAUUUUUCCAAGAAUGUUGGAGGGAAAUUGGCCCCGACAUGGUGGAACUCAUCAAAGAGGUUCUCUCACAAGAAACAUUGCCCAAUAAAUUCAACACCAGCAAUGUAGUACUCAUCCCAAAAUCAGGUGACCUCUCUCUGAUCACAAACUACCACCUAAUUUCUAUUCUAAGCACAAUAUACAAAAUCAUAGCAAAAGCAUUGGCUAACAGACUAGUUCCUCACCUACCAAGAUGGAUUCAAAAAUCUUAAACAGGAUUUACUAGAGGAAGAUGUAUAUUUGAUAACGUCUUCCUAGCCACAGAAGCCAUGUCUUGGGCAGAAGAGAGCAAUCAGGACCUAGCCCUAAUACUUUGACAUUGAAAAAGCAAAUGAUCGCAUCGGUUGGAUUUUUUCGCAAGAUGCGAUGACACAAUUAGGUUUCUCCAACGAAUGGAUCACGUGGACAAUGGCUCUCAACAAUGAAGCUGAGGCAGUAAUAACCAUCAACGGAGAGCAAGGACAAUCCUUCAAGCUAGAGAGGUCAAUUCGCCAGAGGUGCCUCUUGGCACCCUACCUAUUUCUAUUUGCUGCCACCUUACUAGAAUAUGUGCUAGACGAUCCCAAGCACAACAUAGAAGGGCUCAUCCUAUCCAACCAAACCAGUCACACUAACUCUAUGUUUGCCGACGACACCUCACUAUUCCUCAAAAGAGAACCAAACAACAUGCAACAAACACUGAGAGUGUUAGACACGUACUAUGAAGCCUUCAGAGCUAAGAUUAACUGGCAUAAAACUCCGACAAUCUGGGUCUCCCAAAAAACACGAACCUUUAAUUGGAGAAAUGUGCAUGGUCUAACAUAGGUACGAACAGGAAUCCCAGUGCGCUACCUAGGCUUUCCAAUCGGAUUCCACAUGCCUCCAAAAGAGAACGGAGCCAAAAUCCUACAGCAAAUCAUAAGACAACUUAUCAAAUGGGGGCCCAAACAAUUAUCUUUAGCAGGCGAGAUAAUGAUCCUCAACUAAGUGGUCCUGGAUUCAAUAUGGUUCCUAGUUUCAUGCGCCAAUGUAGAAAAUAAAAUCUUCAAACAAAUGUGAUCUUUGGUAAGGAACUACCUAUUGUCCGGGAUCACCACAUGAACCACAAGAGCCAAGGUACAAUAGAAUACCAUCAUCCAAAUACUAACUCACGGAGGUCUAAAGGUCCUAGAACUUGAACUCCAAGCCAGAGCCCUCAUCGCAAAGCUGAUCACCUGUGGCAUGGCACCCGGAGUAGAACCAUAAAAAAUCCUACUUGGGCACUGGAUAACAGAAAUCCAAUACAGCAAGGGAGGAGAUUGGUACCAUAGCCCGCACUAGAUUACGGGAAACAAAAUAAAACUCAAACCCCAAGGCUCACCGUUGUGGCUCAAUGUGAGGUCAGUAUGUCAAGAAAUUCAACCUGGUCUGCAACAACAACCACCACAAUUUCUAGACAAACUGAUGUGCCAGCCUCUCUUCAACAACACACUGAUAAGAGACUCAAACGGAACGAUAUGGGGCCAAAACCUCCAGGACAAGUUCAAUCUAUGAACGAGAAAGGGAGUGCGGACUUGCGGGGACCUUUAGAACGCCACUUCAGAGGAUUGGCAUAUCGAGUCAACCCUGCAACACCGCACAGAAAGCCGCUUAAUUAAAGUUUAGAAAACCACAAUGCUCACAAACAUUCCAUGGCACUCGGGAAACAGACAACCUUACAUAGCCAUAGAGUGGUGGGCAAUUGAUACACAGGGAACCAUAGUCAAGAUAUUCUAUAC